rnacentral:rRNA from 1 species
AUGUCUCAGUUGGUAGGUCGCGUUUCGGGUUUUAUUUUGUUCCACCUCACCCGGUUAUAUUUGGUACCUCCUCCCACCUUUUCCCACCUAAUGCUGACCCGCCACGAACGAAAAAACCACGUAUCAAAUCCUCUGCCAGCCCCCGCGCUCUUCAGGUCGCGCCCGAGACAAGCGACGAAAAAAAAACCUACGAUGAUUAACCAGCGAAAAAAAAACCUACGACGAUUAACCAGCGAAAAAAAAAUCGUCUUGGAACGAGGCCUCCAGGUGCCCUCGAGCUCGCACUCGCAUCAGAUCCCUUCCAGGCCACCACGCCACACCACCAGAUCCCAUCGCCGCCGCCUCGCACUCGCAUCCCAUCGCCGCCGCCCGUGCGUUCUCGAUCGGAGAGGACGCUCCCUUCGCCGCCGCUGA